CAUCCCUACCCUGACUUGGAUUUUCUGAAGCAGCAGGAAGAGGAGGAUUCUGUUUUUACAACAUCCCUUCUGACAGCUAUUAGAGGAAAGUACUUUAAAGCAUUUCGCUGUGAUAUUUGGAUGCUUUCACUCAAACAGAAGCCAUGCGUUUCAAGCAGAAGUUGCUGGGUGAGGCUGCAGUCUCCAGAGGGUCAGAGUGAACAUUUGUGACUGUUCCCCUGCCCUUAAGAUGUAUGAAUUUGUGCAUUUCUGUAUUUAUGAAUACAUUUUUCUGUGCGUAAAUCACUGGGCACCAUUUAAAGUGAGUCAUCUGUAGGGAAAGAUGCAUCACUCCUGUGAGCUUUUACUCAAGGCUCAGAACUAAUACUUGGUCAGGAAUGGUGGGGAGGUCACUGGCUUUGACUUUCUACUGUUUAACCCUUUCUUAGGUGUCCAAAAGUCAACCCUGCUGAACUAAUAUAUUAAUCAGCAAUCUGGCCUGAGCCAUGAUGCUGCUUAUUCUACUGGUUUUUAGAUCCCAAAGUGUAGAAGGAGUUAGGGGGAAAGCAAUGGAUCCAACUGAUGGUAAAACAGCUCAAAGUCACUCUAGUGAUGGGUGAUUCUGUUUUUAUAGCGGCCAGCAAAGUUCACCAAAGCCCAUUAAGGCUUCUGAGCCAGGUCAAUGGGCUUUGGAUCAGGCGCUUCGUCAGGAUGGCUGCGUGGUGAACUGUGCACCUAAUACACUUUUAAUGAAAAUGUUAUCCUCUGGAGCGAGGCCAGGUACAACCAGAGUGGGAGCAAAGACCCUCCAUUCCCUUGCAAUCACAGGGAAAGAUAUUACAGCUAUUUCAUAAACCUGUGUGUUUUAAAAGUCUAAGAAAACCAGCCCACAUCAACAGCGGAAUGAGCAGGCUUCGCCGUGGACACGUCAUUUAAUCACAAUUUAAUAAGGCUCCUGUAUCAGACUUUCGUAAUGAAACUUUCGGGUAGAACCAAACAAAGGGGUCACUGUGGGAGAGAAGAAUGCAGCCUUUGAGUCACAGUUUCUUUUUAGGGUUCACCGUGUUUCGUUUGCAGUGAGCUGCUGGUGAAAUGCAAUGCUUUCCGCAUGCCAACUGUUACCUCAUAAAUGGUCCUUAUGAAAAGUGAUUUGUGAUCACGAGAUGAUUAUCAGCCUUCUUGGCCGAGCUCCUGUGAGAAGCGUGAGUUCUUCUUCCCCCAAAGAAACCUUCAGGUAUUCAAGCCUUUAACAAGUGCUCCCAAGAGGUGUUUAGGGCCUGGAUGACAAAAAGGGUCUUUAAUAAGACAGCAAGCUGUUGGGAGCUAAUAAGUUGGCCUGGGACAAAUAUGCUCAAUCUGGUGGUCUUGGUUGUGUUGGGAGGACAUGGGAGCAAUGGCGUAUCAGGCAGGGAUGACUGUCUGCACUGAGGACCAAAACCCGCUGUGCCUAAUGAUGCCAGAAGAUGUUCACCCCCAUUGGGAUUAAUGGUCUUCCAGGUCUUCAUGUUUUUGGAGGUUGGUGUGUGAGCUGGUAGCUCACUGAGAGAUGAAGAUGGCAGUGAAUGAUCUGGAGAACAUCAGUGGUGAUGGUGUGCAGAGGACAAAGGUGUCUUUGCUGUCGGCCUGAGCCUCUUGAUGUUGCUGUUCCUUUUGCUUAACAGAUUUCUGAUUACAGUGUGGUCCAUCCUCUCUCCUUAUUCUGCAGAGCUGGGGUGGGGGCCCAAGACCAAUGGGGUAGGGACAUCCAUCACCCCAUAACAUCCCUGAUGGGCAGCAUUGGCUGAAGAUGAAUCCGACUCUCUCUGUUGAAAAGAAAACCCAGCCCCUGAGGCUUUCCAAGAAAACACUGUUGAUGAAACUGGGUUUCCAUUGGCACCAGGACUUAAACACUCAGCAAAUAAAGCAGCAUGGGAGCCGUAAUCAGCAUGUGAAGAACAGCCCCCGGCACAGCCAGAUCCCCUGAAGACUGCUGAAUAGUUACAUUUCUGUAAUGCUUCCUCCUAUGACGUGGUGUGACAGCAGAUAUUUCCUCCCUCAAGAUGAAUUUGUCAUUAACAAAGCCAGGAGAGGUGACAGUGGCAGAAGCAGGGCUUGUAAUCACCUUCAGUAGCAAGAUAUUUUGCAGGAACACAAACAUCUAAAGGCAAAUAUUUUGCUUUAUUCCCCAAUAUUCAUUUCUGGUCCAUUGGAAGAACUGCAUAGCUUACUAAUGAGGGAAUUGGGAACCAUGAGCUGUAAUCCUUGGCUGAGUGAAGCAAUGUGCUCAUUACAGCUGUCAAUCAUCUCCCUCCUGCCUCCUAUUUCUGAUCUGUAAAUUGAGGUUAAUACCCUCUAUACACCAAAGGUGCAGGGAGGAUUAAUUAGACAGCAUCUGUAGCACUGCAGUCUUCUCUUUGGGCAAUGGUUGGAGCUCCUGAAGACACACAAAUGUCUCAUUGGAAAGCUGUUUUCUAUUGCAAACCUGAACUGGGGUGCUUCAGUUCUGAAUCACUGAGAUAUUCUUGUUUUCAUCUGAAACUUACCAGUAUGAAACAAAUGAUACUGACACAAGGGGAACAUGAAGAAAAACUGACCUUUGAAAGGUGUGUAGAGAUUUACCUGUGAAGGGGAUCAGGGAGAUUUUUCUUAGUGAAGGAAAAAUCCUAACUCCAGCAUCCCAAAUACUUGGCAGCAGCGUAAUCAUGACUUUAAUAGAGCACUUGGUUUUCCUGUUACAAUAAAUGAGGUCUGCUCUCUGUUAAAAACAAAGCAAAGGGGAAGCAAACAACCCGCAACCCCAACCCUUGGAGGUGUCCAGGGAAAUGGCUUCACUAUUGGGCAUAUCUCAAAACCUAUCCAGGAACUGUGUGUUCUCCAGCGGAUUAAAUUCACCCACCAGUCACUUGUUGGGCUACAUUAGCAAACAAAACAAACCAGCUGACACUCUGUGCUAUACUGCACAGCAAAAUAACACCACUCCCAAUGGCUUUUCCAAUUCCAGGCAUGGAGCAGGAGACUUAACUACUUACUGACUCGGCUCUGCUCACCCAGAAAGGACCCAACCUGAUGGAUGGCUCCUGACCUCUCCCCUACGCAUGGCCACCAGCCAGACUGCCACUUGGGUGUCUUCUGCAUUGGGAGAUACAAACCUCCCAUCUGGCAAGAGUCCAGCCCUAUUUUUAUUCCAUACCAUGGUAAGAAAUGCUACACUUCCCUGAAUGGAUGACCUCAAAGUCACACGUGGGUUAAAUAGAAGCAUAAGUUAUCUGGACUUGCAGCCAUGAAGCCAUUCUCUGGGAGGAAAGGGUAAAUAAACAAAUCAUUUAUUAGCAAGUAAAA